AGAGUUUGAUCCUGGCUCAGGACGAACGCUGGCGGCGUGCCUAAUACAUGCAAGUCGAGCGAGCUGAAUUCAAAGAUCCCUUCGGGGUGAUUUGUUGGACGCUAGCGGCGGAUGGGUGAGUAACACGUGGGCAAUCUGCCCUAAAGACUGGGAUACCACUUGGAAACAGGUGCUAAUACCGGAUAACAACAUGAAUCGCAUGAUUCAAGUUUGAAAGGCGGCGCAAGCUGUCACUUUAGGAUGAGCCCGCGGCGCAUUAGCUAGUUGGUGGGGUAAAGGCCUACCAAGGCAAUGAUGCGUAGCCGAGUUGAGAGACUGAUCGGCCACAUUGGGACUGAGACACGGCCCAAACUCCUACGGGAGGCAGCAGUAGGGAAUCUUCCACAAUGGACGCAAGUCUGAUGGAGCAACGCCGCGUGAGUGAAGAAGGUCUUCGGAUCGUAAAGCUCUGUUGUUGGUGAAGAAGGAUAGAGGCAGUAACUGGUCUUUAUUUGACGGUAAUCAACCAGAAAGUCACGGCUAACUACGUGCCAGCAGCCGCGGUAAUACGUAGGUGGCAAGCGUUGUCCGGAUUUAUUGGGCGUAAAGCGAGCGCAGGCGGAAUGAUAAGUCUGAUGUGAAAGCCCACGGCUCAACCGUGGAACUGCAUCGGAAACUGUCAUUCUUGAGUGCAGAAGAGGAGAGUGGAACUCCAUGUGUAGCGGUGGAAUGCGUAGAUAUAUGGAAGAACACCAGUGGCGAAGGCGGCUCUCUGGUCUGCAACUGACGCUGAGGCUCGAAAGCAUGGGUAGCGAACAGGAUUAGAUACCCUGGUAGUCCAUGCCGUAAACGAUGAGCGCUAGGUGUUGGGGACUUUCCGGUCCUCAGUGCCGCAGCAAACGCAUUAAGCGCUCCGCCUGGGGAGUACGACCGCAAGGUUGAAACUCAAAGGAAUUGACGGGGGC
rnacentral:rRNA from 1 species